GCCGGAGCCGCGCUGCCUCAAUAAGCCCUGUGAAUAUUGCCAGGACCCGUCGCUUUGUUCGGCAUUAUUCCCCACAAUGGCUAUCACACUUUGGAAGUAAUUUUAAAAAGGGAAUCAAAAUAGUGGUACUUUUAAGGCUUUUGUUUCUCUUCGCGCCCGCCCUGCAUUCUCUCUCUCUUUCUCUCGCUCUCUCCCCCUCUCUCAUUCAUCCACCUCCAUUAUACUGACAAAUUAAAUAAACCACUCCACUGCCUAAGAGCCUGCGACCGGGGCUGGGUGGCAGAGAGUCUGCAGGAGCCGGGAGAGCCGAGCCCGGAGCGGCUCUCUCCGGCGCUCCGUCUCUGCCCCCUUCCCCUGCGUCUUGCUCUUUUCCUCGUGCGCUCCAGCACCGGGCCCCUGACGUGGCAAGCUGAAGACCUAGCGGAGGUCUUGAGGUGGGAGGUGGGGACCUGGCGAGCCUCCCUCCCACCCAGCUGGCCCUGCAGCAGGUGGAGAAAAGCCUGGCGGAGCAGCAGGAAUGUCUUUAUGGGAAUGCACGGCUGCAGUGGCAUCCCCCCCCCCCCGACCUUCCCAUGUGUCCCCCUCCAAAGGUCCAUCACCUGAGCCCCGUCACCCCGCCAACGCCGCACGAUUGGCGGACAAAAGACUUUCUCCUGGGCUGGUUAUGGUCGUCAGUCAAGCACAACGGACUAUGCAAAUGGGGGAGAAAGGCGAGAAGAUGGCGAACAGAGGUCCCGAUUGUUCGGCAGAUUUCACAGCGGAGCGCAGCUGCACCUCAGCAGCCAUCCGGGAGAACAUCACACACGCAGGAAUCGGAGAAAAUUCUGUAGAUUUAAAAGAAUCACGUCCAAAUCUACUAUUGAAAACCCAGAAGAAAAAAUCUUCUAUUGUGCCAGGUAGAUGCGGUUCACGACUGGUGCGAGGCUUCCAGGCUGGACACCUGAUGCAGGUUAUGGAGGAUCACAGGUGGCCGACCAGUGCAGAAUGCAUGUAUGGUGGACAUCAUUUUAAAAAGGAAAAUUGCUAAGACAUUGUAUGUAGAGCCCUAUAAUUUUCAAUAAAUUAUAUCUGGACAGAUUUGAGCAU
ensembl:lncRNA